UUUUUUUUUUUCAUUUUACAAAAGUGCAGAGUUAAAUGGAAAUUGACACUUUUUAUUUUUUUUAUAAAUAAACCUGGUUUCAAGCGGACAAAAGGUCCUGUUACUUCUUAGUUCUUUAGAUCAUUGUAUCUAAACUCAAGAGGCAGAUUAUUGCCCAGAGAAUAUGCCUUGUAAAGACUUCUCAUUAAGCUGCAUUGUGAAGUCUGUGAUUGGACAGCCACAGAAAAUCUGGACGGGGUUAGAAAGGGAGCGCUUGCAAAGGCAGCAGACACGAUAUCUGCAGGUUUUAGAUAUACCCCAAUAAUAAUUUACAAUUAAAUGAAUGCAUAUUUUCACUUGGGGUAUAUCUACUAAGUAGUGAUUUUAUUUUACAUUUGGGCAGUGGAGGGUCCAUUUAACAAAUUCAUUCAUAUACAUUAAUUAAAGCUGCUGCUCAAAGUUAUUCUAUUACUAUUAGUAUUUUAUUUACACACGCCCCCACUAUACCCUGUAGGCUGUUAGAAUGUUGCUAGUAACUCCAUUUAUUUUAUUUUCAUGAAAAGUACUAGGUCCUGUUGUUAAAUAGACUGCCUGAUUGCUUUGUAUAAGAUAG